CUUCACCGAACCCAACAACAACGGCCGACCCACCGACCGCUCCUGACCAUACGUCGCCAACAACGCCUGAGCCUC
rnacentral:antisense_RNA from 1 species